rnacentral:rRNA from 1 species
CGAACGCUGGCGGCGUGCUUAACACAUGCAAGUCGAACGGUGAAGCGCCUUCCUUUUUGGUGGGUGUGGAUGAGUGGCGAACGGGUGAGUAACACGUGAGUAACCUGCCCCCUUCUUCUGGAUAACCGCAUGAAAGUGUGGCUAAUACGGGAUAUUCUGGGUCUGUCGCAUGAUGGGUCUGGGAAAGAUAUUGUUUCGGUGGGGGAUGGGCUCGCGGCCUAUCAGCUUGUUGGUGGGGUGAUGGCCUACCAAGGCGGUGACGGGUAGCCGGCCUGAGAGGGUGGCCGGUCACACUGGGACUGAGACACGGCCCAGACUCCUACGGGAGGCAGCAGUGGGGAAUAUUGCACAAUGGGCGCAAGCCUGAUGCAGCGACGCCGCGUGAGGGAUGGAGGCCUUCGGGUUGUGAACCUCUUUCGCCAGUGAAGCAGGCCUGCCUCGUUUGUGGGUGGGUUGACGGUAGCUGGAUAAGAAGCGCCGGCUAACUACGUG